AACCAUUCUCACCUGCGGCUAGACCUGCGGAGGGAUCAUUAUCGAGUGUAACUGACCCCCUAAAAAAGGGUAGUACCUCCCGUCCUUUGCAGGCCCCCUUUUUAUGGGGGGCUUUUUUUAAGACUUUCUGCUUCGGCGGGGUUACUCCCGCCGGAACACCCUCAAAAAACUCUCAAAAAAACCGUUCAGUCCGAGAACUUUUUAAAAAUAUAAAAAAAAACUUUUAACAAUGGAUCUCAG
rnacentral:misc_RNA from 1 species